UACGUAGGGUGCGAGCGUUGUCCGGAAUUAUUGGGCGUAAAGGGUGCGUAGGCGGUCGGGUAAGUCUGAUGUGAAAUCUCACAGCUUAACUGUGAAACUGCAUUGGAUACUAUCCGGCUCGAGGAAUGGAGGGGAGACUGGAAUACUUGGUGUAGCAGUGAAAUGCGUAGAUAUCAAGUGGAACACCAGUGGCGAAGGCGAGUCUCUGGACAUUUCCUGACGCUGAGGCACGAAAGCCAGGGGAGCAAACGGG
rnacentral:rRNA from 1 species